CGCGUACGUGGCGUUGAGGGUCGGGUCGACUUCGCCAGAUACGUUAUUGAAAUUGUAGAGGCGGUCCAUGAAAGCAGCGUAUUGUGCCCUUCCAAAUGUGUGAACACCUGAGAAGUAUCCGGAAUGAAAAAUCAUAUGUAAAUCAAAUU